rnacentral:sRNA from 1 species
AGCUGCUCCAGUAGCCCACUCGUUAGGUAUGUUGCCUUCCCCUGUGAGAACGUGGGUUCGCUCCGCUGGCCGGCAAUUGCAUAGGAAAAGUUGCAGAUCGGGCUGUUGGGUUACCCGGAGGGGGGGGGCGCAUUUUUUUUAUAAAAUUUUUAUAU